rnacentral:rRNA from 1 species
GUGAGGAAUUUUCCGCAAUGGGCGAAAGCCUGACGGAGCAAUGCCGCGUGAAGGAUGAAGGCCUAUGGGUUGUAAACUUCUUUUCUCAGAAAAGAAUUAUGACGGUAUCUGAGGAAUAAGCAUCGGCUAACUCUGUGCCAGCAGCCGCGGUAAGACAGAGGAUGCAAGCGUUAUCCGGAAUGAUUGGGCGUAAAGCGUCUGUAGAUUGUUUAAAAAGUAUUCUGUCAAAGAUUAGGGCUUAACCCUAGAUAGGCAGAAUAAACUUUUAAGCUAGAGUUUGGUAGAGGCAGAGGGAAUUCCCGGUGGAGCGGUGAAAUGCGUAGAUAUCGGGAGGAACACCAAAGGCGAAGGCACUCUGCUGGGCCAAUACUAACACUGAGAGACGAAAGCGAGGGGAGCAAAUGGGAUUAGAAACCCUAGUAGUCC